GGGUAGGGAGGGCCGGAAAUGUGCUGGAGACCGCCUGGGUCUUGAGAGGAAAGGAGGGCGGACCUGCCCCGAAGGUGCUGGUGGUGCGGCUCUGUGUCCUCCAGUUGUAGGCAGGGGAGAAGGGUCAGGCUUAAAUGUCCACUCAAGUUGUGUGUAGAAAGGCAGGGUUAACUGUACCCUAGGAACGGGUGUGGGGGUAGGUUGUCAAAGAAAACCAGAGCUAGACAUAAGCUAAAACGGUGGAAAUAAAUUUUAUUCACCAUAAUGUAGCUACAGGGGAAGACACACUCCAGUAUAGACUUGGGGUCAAUUCUGAAUACCAGCAGAUCAAGUGGGGAUUUAUAACUAAACAAGUUGGAGUUGGGGGUGUUAGCUGAUAAAAAUACACAGUCCGGCGGCUUUUGGCUGUACCAACCUAAUAAGAUUAUUGCUGAAGGCAGGCCUAGGUGAUCUGAUACCACCUGGGGGCAGUCGUGGGGAUGAAGUUUGAUCAGUUUUCAAGGGUAGAGAAUUCUUAUUAAACUGACAGGAUUCUUGCUAAAACUGGAUUCUACAAGGAAGUACAUGGAAGGUUGUUGGGGAGAGGGUUCAGGGGAAUCUGACUAAAGUUUGGGUAAGCAAAGAAUCUUGGUCAGGGAGGAGGAGUGGGAUGGGUAGGAUCCUCUGCGCAGUGUCCUCUUCUGGGAGCCAUGGUGCCCCUGUCUAGGAAAUGAAAGACUUGUUUCUGCCCAUGAUCUGGGGUGUGCUCAUCUUCCCUGGGGGCCAAGGACUAAGUAGUCUCUUAUCUUCCUCAAAGUCCAGUAUCUGGUGUUUUCUCAUCUUGGUCAGGUCCCAGGGCCUACUGUGGUCUUGACUUCUUCAGGGUCCAGGCUUUGAUGUUCUCGGGGCUCUCCUAAUAUUCUUGGGCCCCAGACUUGGUGGAUUCUCCUCUUGGAAUUUCCCAGCAGGUUUUAGCAACCCUAUGCCUCCCUUUGGGUCAUCCUGUCCACAGCCUGCCAAACUUGUUCCAGGCGUUGUUAUUUAUUUAUUUGUUGAGAGAGAGAGAGAGAGAGAAAGAAAGAGAAAUAUCUUAAGCAGGCUCCACAAUCUGUGCAGAGCCCAUCACAGAGCUCAAUUAUACAAUCCUGGGAUCAUGACCUGAGCUGAAAUCGAGUUGGAUGCUUAAUGGACUGAGCCACUCAGGUGUGCCCAGGAGUUGUUAAUUUUUAUUGUUACUGUGGAGAGCAUCUACCUGCCAGCUACACAUUGUUCAUCAUAUUUGUUGCAAUAAGACGGUCUUGAUUUUGAUUAGUAUUUACUCAGAAACUGAGAAGAAGUCUUUUAUACUAAGAGUAUUUCCUUGGAUUUUCUUGUGGCUAUUGUAGAGAAAAUACAAUCUCCAUUCUGGCCCCAAUCCCUUAUUCAAAACCUUCAGGGCCAGAACUGUUUUGGAAUUCACAAGUGUUUGGAUCUUAACAGGAUAGUAAGCCCCUUGCCUGUGCCUUGGAGAUUGCUGCUGAGGUGACUUGGCCCUUCCUGCUGAUUGCGGUGGAUCUCUGCUCUUUGUGGGUUGUCCACCUCCAGAGGAUUGGCUCUAAAUCAGGGUAACCUCAACCCAGGUGACUUACCAUUAUAUUCAGAAGGAAGCUCCAACUCCUAAUUAGUGUCCACAAGACCUGGAACGUCUGAGCCUCAUUGCAUCUAACUCUUGUCCUUCUGCUCUUUUCCCUCAUCCAUCCAUUCUGGCCUCACUGCCUGCCAUCAGUUUCUUGAUUGCAUCAGAUUCUUCCCACUUCAGAGCCUUUGCUAGCCCUUCUCCUUUUGCUAAAAUGCUCUUCCCCAAGUCAUUAUAUACUGGCUCCUUCUCACACCUGAGAGUUCAGAUUAAAGUUGACUUCAUCAGA